rnacentral:rRNA from 1 species
UACGAAGGGGGCUAGCGUUGUUCGGAAUUACUGGGCGUAAAGCGCGCGCAGGCGGUCCUUUAAGUCGGGGGUGAAAGCCCAGAGCUCAACUCUGGAACUGCCUUCGAAACUAGAGGACUUGGGUACGGGAGAGGUGAGUGGAAUUCCGAGUGUAGAGGUGAAAUUCGUAGAUAUUCGCAAGAACACCAGUGGCGAAGGCGGCUCACUGGCCCGAUACUGACGCUGAGGCACGAAAGCGUGGGGAGCAAACAGG